AUUGAACGCUGGCGGCAGGCCUAACACAUGCAAGUCGAACGGUAACAGGAAGAUGCUUGCUUCUUUGCUGACGAGUGGCGGACGGGUGAGAACUGUCUGGGAAACUGCCUGAUGGAGGGGGAGAACUACUGGAAACGGUAGCUAAUACCGCAUAACGGCGCAAGACCAAAGAGGGGGACCUUCGGGCCUCUUGCCAUCGGAGGUGCCCAGGUGGGAUUAGCUAGUAGGUGGGGUAACGGCUCACCUAGGCGACGAUCCGUAGCUGGUCUGAGAGGAGGACCAGCCACACUGGAACUGAGACACGGUCCAGACUCCUACGGGAGGCAGCAGUGGGGAAUAUUGGACAAUGGGGGCAAGCCUGAUGCAGCCAUGCCGCGUGUAUGAAGAAGGCCUUCGGGUUGUAAAGUGCUUUUGGCGGGGAGGAAGGCAUUUAAGCUAAUACCCCGGCUCAUUGACGUUACCGGAAGAAGAAGCACCGGCUAACUACGUG
rnacentral:rRNA from 1 species